AGUGAACGCUGGCGGUAGGCCUAACACAUGCAAGUCGAACGGCAGCACCGUAAGAACUUGCUCUCACGGGUGGAGCGCGGCGGAAGGGUGCGGAAUACACCGGAAUCUACUUUUUAGUGGGGGAUAACGUAGGGAAACUUACGCUAAUAACGCAUACGACCCACGGGUGAAAGCAGGGGAUCUUCGGACCUUGUGGGAUUGAUUGAGGCGAUGUAGGAUUAGCUAGAUGGCGGGGUAAAGGCCCACCAAGUCGACGAUCCGUACCUGGUCUGAGCGGAUGAUCAGCUAGACUGUAUGUGAGACUCGUUCCACACACCGACACUAGGCAGCAGUGGAGAAUAUUGGACAAUGCGGGCGUGCCUAAUCCAGCCAUACCGCGUGGGUGAAGAAGGCGUUCGGGUGCGAGAGUCCUUUUGUUGGGAGGAAAGAGCAACAGUUUAAUACCCCGCGAUUCUGACGGUACCCAAAGAAUAAGCACCGGCUAACUUCGUG
rnacentral:rRNA from 1 species